ACCCGCUGAACUUAAGCAUAUCAAUAAGCGGAGGAAAAGAAACUAACAAGGAUUCCCCUAGUAACGGCGAGUGAAGCGGGAAUAGCUCAAAUUUAAAAUCUUGUAGGGUUACCUGCACGAAUUGUAGUUUAGAGAAACGUUUUCGGGUCUGACAUGGGCAUAAGUCCUUUGGAACGAGGCAUCAUAGAGGGUGAGAAUCCCGUUUUUGGCCCAUUGUUCAGUCCUAUGUGAUACGUUUUCCAAGAGUCGGUUUGUUUGGGAAUGCAGACCAAAAUGGGUGGUAAAUACCAUCUAAAGCUAAAUAUUGGCGAGAGACCGAUAGCGAACAAGUACCGUGAGGGAAAGAUGAAAAGAACUUUGAAAAGAGAGUUAAACAGUACGUGAAAUUGUCAAAAGGGAAACGCUUGAAACCAGUAUUGCUGGCAAAUAAUCAGCCUUGCAAUUUGCAAGGUGCACUUGUUUGUCGGCAGGUCAACAUCAGUUUGACUUGGGGUAAAAAGCCAGAAGAAGGUGACCCAGAGCUUGCUUUGGGUGUUAUAGCUUCUGGUCCUGCCUUGGGUUGGACUGAGGACUGCAGCAUUUUUUGGGUACCCAGUCGCCUC
rnacentral:rRNA from 1 species